UAUGGCAACAUUUAUGGCUGCCAUAACGAAUCCAAGCAUUAAUCUACCUAUAUUAUUAGGUGUUUCAGCUAAUCCCAACUUGAACUAACCCUCCUCAUCAUCAAGCCACUUGGUUCCAACCCCUCAGAGAGAUUUGGCGAAUAAAGGGAAUUCUAUGGGUUGCACUAAUGUGACUCAAGUUCUUCUUAAGAGUAUUGUAAGGCCUGGGGAUACUAUAGCUAAAGGAACCGUUUUGAGCAUGGAUCCGUUGACAAAAGUAGGGGGGCAAAAACUUGGAGUUGGUUUCUGGGAAGUAUCUAUUCAAGUGGUAAUGGUACGUGAUGAGGAUUUGAGAAGGAUCCAUGGACGAUAUAAAACAAUUGGGGAUGCAAUUGGAACGAGUAUUGCUUGGCCCACUACUUUAUGUAUGGUUGUAGACAGAAAUGGAUGUUGACUACAUGGGAGAAGUUUUUAUUAAGUACUUGGAACUAUAAACAUCUUUUAUAAGUAGGGGUAGUAGGGAUCCGUGGUUUUAGACUUUUGGAUUGAGUUAGACACAUCUAAACAGUUUAUUUUUAUCUUAGUUUAAUUAUAGAGGGCACAUCUAAACUCAUCUGAUCUCUUUAAUUUAAUCUUAGUUUUAUAAGAUUAUGAUUUGUGAUUUGAAUUCUGCAUUUGGAUGUCUUUAAUUUAAUCUCUUCUGUUUCUUUUCUUUUUACAUGUGGUCACUUGGUCAUCAUAUUUGUAG